CAGUGUUCGCUGCCCCACGGGUAGCAAACCUCACCCUUGUGUAUUAUAUCUUUGUUGCUUUGGCACGCCGCCUUCGGGUACCGGCUUUGGCUGGCUCGCGCGUGUCAAGGGACCUGAAACUCUGAAUGUUAGUGUCGUCUGAGUACUAUCUAAUAGUUA
rnacentral:misc_RNA from 1 species